rnacentral:rRNA from 1 species
CUCUAUGGUUGCUACCCUGAACGUGCCUGAUCCCGUCUGAUCUUGGAAGAUAAGCAGAGUCGAGCCUGCUUAAUACUUGGAUUGGAGAUCAUCUAGGAAGACCUGGGUGCUGUAGGAG